rnacentral:rRNA from 1 species
UACAGAGGGGGCAAGCGUUGUUCGGAAUUACUGGGCGUAAAGGGCGCGUAGGCGGCCUGUUAAGUCGAACGUGAAAUCCCCGGGCUCAACCCGGGAACUGCGUCCGAUACUGGCAGGCUUGAAUCCGGGAGAGGGAUGUGGAAUUCCAGGUGUAGCGGUGAAAUGCGUAGAUAUCUGGAGGAACACCGGUGGCGAAGGCGGCAUCCUGGACCAAUACUGACGCUCAGGUGCGAAAGCGUGGGGAGCAAACAGG